CGUCGUCGUCAUCAUCAUCACUCAUCAUAAUGAUUAUCGUCAUCAUCA
rnacentral:snoRNA from 1 species